GUCCUCAGUCCCGGGUCGUCUCGGCGCGGUUCCGAGCGGUCGCUCCCUCGCGAGGUGCCGCGGGUCAGCGGCUGACGCCAGCCACCUUCCCGACCCGUCUUGAAACACGGACCAAGGAGUCUAACAUGUGCGCGAGCCGCGGGGCAGUACGAAACCCGUAAGGCGAAAUGAAGGUGAACGCCGGCGCGGUCCGGCGGAGGUUGGAUCCCGUCCCGUCGGGGCGGGCGCACUACCGGCCGAUCUUCUCCGCCCUGUCGGCGAGGUCGAGCGAGAGCGUGCAAGUCGGGACCCGAAAGAUGGUGAACUAUGCCUGAGGAGGUUGAAGCCAGAGGAAACUCUGGUGGAGGACCGUAGCGAUUCUGACGUGCAAAUCGAUCGUCAAAUUUGGGUAUAGGGGCGAAAGACUAAUCGAACCGUCUAGUAGCUGGUUCCCUUCGAAGUUUCCCUCAGGAUAGCUGGCGCUCUGUCGCAGUUUUAUCUGGUAAAGCGAAUGAUUAGAGGUCUUGGGGGCGAAACGCCCUCAACCUAUUCUCAAACUUUAAAUUGGUAAGAAGCCCGACUCGCUCGUUUGGAGCCGGGCAUGGAAUGCGAGUGCCAAGUGGGCCACUCUUGGUAAGCAGGACUGGCGAUGCGGGAUGAACCGAACGCCGGGUUAAGGCUCCCGACGCGACGCUCAUCAGAGCCCACAAAAGGUGUUGGUUGAUAUAGACAGCAGGACGGUGGCCAUGGAAGUCGGAAACCGCUAAGGAGUGUGUAACAACUCACCUGCCGAAUCAAUCAGCCCUGAA
rnacentral:ncRNA from 1 species